GUAACCUUGGUCUCAAGUUUGUGUUUUCCAAGAAGCAUCUCAUUUCAGAAAGUGAGUUUCCAGUGAAGCAUUCAGAGAAGCCUGGACAUGGAAAGAAAAUGAUUUGUUUAAGAGAGAUGUACUGCAUAUAUGUAGGCACUGAAAGGAGAAUGAUGGAAUAAGCCCACUGCAUCCUUAACUGAAAAGAGAAAUCACUACACGGUGCCGGGAUAUGGGAAGGCCUUCCGAUUUCCACACCCCAGGUCCUCCGUUUUCUGCACCUACUACAAUGUGGAUUUAUGUUGGCCAAAAUAUCACCCACGGUAUCACAAGUGGAGUAUAAAGUGCCAUAUUGGGCUACCAUAUGGCUACUAACCUCCGACGUUGGUAGUAACUAUCAAUGUAGAAAUUUGAGAGCAGAAUGAGCCUCGGGAUAGAACCAGAUCUCACUCAAGCAUGUUAUAUAAUUGGCUGUAGUGAGAAACUAAGAAAAAAAAUGUCUCUGAACCA